UACGUAGGGUGCGAGCGUUGUCCGGAAUUAUUGGGCGUAAAGGGCUCGUAGGCGGUUUGUCGCGUCGGGAGUGAAAACCCAGGGCUUAACCCUGGGCUGGCUUCCGAUACGGGCAGACUAGAGGUAUGCAGGGGGAGAACGGAAUUCCCUGGUGUAGCGGUGAAAUGCGCAGAUAUCAGGAGGAACACCGGUGGCGAAGGCGGUUCUCUGGCCUUACCUGACGCUCAGGUGCGAAAGCUAGGGGAGCGAACAGG
rnacentral:rRNA from 1 species